rnacentral:rRNA from 1 species
GGAAAUCUCACCAGGCCCGGACACUGGAAGGAUUGACAGAUUUGAUUGAUUCGGUGGGUGGUGGUGCAUGGCCGUUCUUAGUUGGUGGAGCGAUCUGUCUGGUUAAUUCCGAUAACGAACGAGACCCCAACCUGCUAACUAGCCCUCGGGUCCUGCUUCUGUUGGGCCCGACGGAAUGAUUCGCUUCUUAGAGGGACUCGCGGCGCCUAGCCGCACGAAGGGGGGCGAUAA